rnacentral:rRNA from 1 species
UACGUAGGGACCAAGCGUUGUUCGGAUUUACUGGGCGUAAAGGGCGUGUAGGCGGUCUGUUAAGUCUGGCGUGAAAGCUCUCGGCUAAACCGGGAGAGGUCGUUGGAUACUGGCAGACUAGAGGACGGUAGAGGCGUGUGGAAUUCCGGGUGUAGUGGUGAAAUGCGUAGAGAUCGGGAGGAACACCGGCGGCGAAGGCGGCUGCCUGGACCAGUCCUGACGCUGAGGCGCGAAAGCUAGGGGAGCAAACAGG